rnacentral:rRNA from 1 species
GACGGGGGAUGCAGGCGUUAUCCGGAAUCACUGGGCGUAAAGCGUCUGUAGGUGGUGAUGCAAGUCACUGGUGCAAAACUCUGGCUCAACCGGAGGAAAGCCAGUGAAACUGCAUGACUAGAGUGUGGGAGAGGUAGAAGGCAUUCCCUGAGUAGCGGUGAAAUGCGUAGAUACAGGGAAGAACACCGGAGGCGAAAGCGUUCUACUGGAACACAACUGACAAUGAGAGACGAAAGCUAGGGGAGCGAAUGGG